UGUUGGACAGACCUCUGGUGUCCCAGUUGUUCUGCCAAGGGCAUUGCUGGGUAGCUAAGUCUGGUUGGGAUAAGUGCUGAAAGCAUCUAAGUACGAAGCUCGCCUCAAGAUUAGAUUUCCCAUCCCGGUUUACCGGGAGUAAGACCGCAAGUAGACUACUUGUUUGAUAGGCAGCGAGUGGAAGAGCAGUAAUGUUUUUAGCUUAGCUGUACUAAUGGUCGAGGGCUUGACCUG
rnacentral:rRNA from 1 species